rnacentral:rRNA from 1 species
UACGUAGGGUCCGAGCGUUGUCCGGAAUUACUGGGCGUAAAGAGCUCGUAGGUGGUUUGUCGCGUUGUUUCGUGAAAACUCACAGCUUAAACUGUGGGGCGUGCGGGCGAUACGGGGCAGACUUGAGUACUGCAGGGGGAGCUGGAAAUUCCUGGUGUAGCGGUGGAAAUGCGCAGAUAUCAGGAGGAACACCGGUGGCGAAGGCGGGGUCUCUGGACAGUUCUGACAUGAGGCACGAAGCCCGGGGGAGCAAAACGGG